AGAGUAUGGGGUCAGUUCCAAGUCGGACUCAGGGGAGUGGACGCACCUGCCGUGCAUAGUCCCUUGGACUUGUAAUUGGACAUGGGACACAAGCUGGGGCUUGAUCACCCUGUAGCUGGCCACCUUUGAUGAGGGUGUCUAGUGUCGAAAGGCCGAAACACCCCCUGAUUCAAAGGCACACUAACGAUGUGUCCUAAAUUGACAAGGUACAACGUCCCCUCGCCUCUCUCACCAUCAAGGAAACUCAUGUGACUCAACACCUAAUGGCACAAUGGAGAGUAACACCAUCUCGUCCUGUGUUUUAUAAAUCUGGAAAGGACUGCAAGAGGGUGCCAAAGAAGCAGAAUAUGGGUGACGCUUGCCGGUUUGAUGACCUGAAGACAACUGCAGAUCAUGCGCAGGAUGAACAACAAGAGUUGGUGGUCGAGGUACAGAUAUAAACAUGAGAAGGAGAGAAGAGAAGCGGGAUCGGCUACAGGAAAGUGCAGAGGACAGAUAAAAUGAAAGAAAGAAGUGCUGAAAAAUAAGCACUGGAAAGGACCAAGAGAGGACAAGCAUUGCUAGUGACCAGCUGGCCAUCUCAGAGUUCCCCUGUUCUCACCUGGACCCCUUAUGGAGCGCACAUGCACCUCCAUUACGGAAAUCAGGGCUGCUGACAGCUUUGGCUGGGACUGGGAUAGUCACCAAAAGCCCCCUCGAUUGAGUCCCUGACUCAUAUGAUAGGCCUAAAU